AAAUGAAAUUCGCUUUUGCAUUUUGUUUGGUUUGUGGCCUGUUUGCAAUUACUUUGGGUCACAAGCAACACGUUUGACACCUGCGACUGCUGCAACUCUCUAAAAUUAUCUAAACUAACUGCAAAAUGAAAUUGGCUAUUGCAUCUUACUUGACCUUUAGCUUAUUUGAAAUUGUUUUUGGCCGCGAAAAGGUUAGGCACGCUUAUUGCCUGCUUGAACCUGCCGUUAGGGGUGGCUGCAAUGAGGUGCAGAAUUUGUGGACAUUUUAUUCCGAAGAAAAUGAGUGUCGAUUGUUUCCGUUUAACGGAUGCUUUGGGAAUUCCAAUCAGUUCCAGACACUGGAAAUAUGCGAAGACCGUUGUAUGUCUCCCAAAAGAAAAUCAAUAACUGAAAAACCUGCAUCUGCGGUUUUCUUAUGAGUAUACACAGAAUAAAUUCAAAAUACAAAG